rnacentral:rRNA from 1 species
CAAUAGCGUAUAUUAAUGUUGUUGCAGUUAAAAAGCUCGUAGUUGGAUUUCUGAUGGGAGCCCUGGUCAUUUUAACGAGUGUACUGAUGUGGCGUCCUGUCGUUUCAUGGGGAUGCUUGCUGGUAUUAAGUUAUCGGCUUGUGGAUCCAUGUCGUUUACUGUGAAAAAAUUAGAGUGUUCAAAGCAGGCCAUCGCUGUGAAUACAUUAGCAUGGAAUAAUAAGAUAGGACUGUGGUGCUAUUUUGUUGGUUUGCGUACUACGGUAAUGAUUAAUAGGGAUAGUUGGGGGUAUUCAUAUUCAAUUGUCAGAGGUGAAAUUCUUGGAUUUAUGGAAGAUGAACUACUGCGAAAGCAUUUACCAAGGAUGUUUUCAUUAA